rnacentral:rRNA from 1 species
GACGAACGCUGGCGGCGUGCCUAACACAUGCAAGUCGAGCGAAGUGAGUACUACGGUACGAACUUAGCGGCGGACGGGUGAGUAACGCGUGGACAAUCUACCCUGUAGACUGGGAUAACACCUCGAAAGGGGUGCUAAUACCGGAUAAUGUCGAGAAGCGGCAUCGCUUUUCGAAGAAAGGAGAGAAUCCGCGAUAGGAGGAGUCCGCGUCCCAUUAGCUAGUUGGUGAGGGUAACGGCCCACCAAGGCGACGAUGGGUAGCCGGCCUGAGAGGGUGAACGGCCACACUUGAACUGAGACACGGUCCAGACUCCCACGGGAGGCAGCAGUGGGGAAUAUUGUGCAAUGGGGGAAACCCUGACACAGCAACGCCGCGUGAGCGAAGAAGGCCUUCGGGUUGUAAAGCUCAAUAGUAUGGGAAGAUAAUGACGGUACCAUACGAAAGCCCCGGCUAACUACGUGCCAGCCGCCGCCUGUAAUAC